UACGGAGGAUGCAAGCGUUAUCCGGAAUGAUUGGGCGUAAAGCGUCCGCAGGUGGCUAUGUAAGUCUGCUGUUAAAGAGUGAGGCUCAACCUCAUAAGAGCAGUGGAAACUACAUGGCUAGAGUGCGUUCGGGGCAGAGGGAAUUCCUGGUGUAGCGGUGAAAUGCGUAGAGCUCGGGAAGAACAUCGGUGGCGAAAGCGCUCUGCUGGACUGCAACUGACACUCGAGGGAACGAAAGCUAGGGGAGCGAAUGGG
rnacentral:rRNA from 1 species